GUUUACUGGCCUGGCAGCUCCAGCAGGGGACGUCUCUAUGCCACCCUGGGGCCCAACUGGCGGGUUCCAGUUAGGAAUUCUCCCAGAACCCGGAGCUGUGUCUACAGCCCCACCGGCCCGUGCAUCUGUUCUCUGGGGAACUCCGCAGCUGUGCCCACCAUGGAGGGGCCUCUGAGAAGAAAAACCCUGCUCAAGGAAGGGCGGAAGCCUGCGCUGUCCUCGUGGACCAGGUACUGGGUCAUACUCUCAGGAUCCACCCUCCUGUACUACGGAGCCAAGUCCUUGCGGGGCACAGACAGAAAACACUAUAAAUCCACACCUGGCAAAAAG
rnacentral:sRNA from 1 species